rnacentral:rRNA from 1 species
AGAGUUUGAUCAUGGCUCAGGAUGAACGCUGGCGGUAUGCUUAACACAUGCAAGUCGAACGGACUCUUCGGAGUUAGUGGCGGACGGGUGAGUAACGCGUGAGAAUCUGGCUUCAGGUUCGGGACAACAGUUGGAAACGGCUGCUAAUACCGGAUGUGCCUUAUGGUGAAAGAUUUAUCACCUGAAGAUGAGCUCGCGUCUGAUUAGCUAGUAGGUGUGGUAAGAGCGCACCUAGGCGACGAUCAGUAGCUGGUCUGAGAGGAUGAUCAGCCACACUGGGACUGAGACACGGCCCAGACUCCUACGGGAGGCAGCAGUGGGGAAUUUUCCGCAAUGGGCGAAAGCCUGACGGAGCAAUACCGCGUGAGGGAGGAAGGCUCUUGGGUUGUAAACCUCUUUUCUCAGGGAAGAAUGAUGACGGUACCUGAGGAAUAAGCAUCGGCUAACUCCGUGCCAGCAGCCGCGGUAAUACGGAGGAUGCAAGCGUUAUCCGGAAUGAUUGGGCGUAAAGCGUCCGCAGGUGGCAAUGUAAGUCUGCUGUUAAAGAGUCUGGCUCAACCAGAUAAAGGCAGUGGAAACUACAUGGCUAGAGUGCGUUCGGGGCAGAGGGAAUUCCUGGUGUAGCGGUGAAAUGCGUAGAGAUCAGGAAGAACACCGGUGGCGAAAGCGCUCUGCUAGGCCGCAACUGACACUGAGGGACGAAAGCUAGGGGAGCGAAUGGGAUUAGAUACCCCCGUAGUCC